GAUCAUGGCUCAGAUUGAACGCUGGCGGCAGGCCUAACACAUGCAAGUCGAACGGUAACAGGAAGCAGCUUGCUGCUUUGCUGACGAGUGGCGGACGGGUGAGUAAUGUCUGGGAAACUGCCUGAUGGAGGGGGAUAACUACUGGAAACGGUAGCUAAUACCGCAUAACGUUGCAAGACCAAAGAGGGGGGAACCCUUCGGGUCCGUCUUGCCAUCGGAUGUGCCCAGAUGGGAUUAG
rnacentral:rRNA from 1 species